rnacentral:rRNA from 1 species
UACGUAGGGAGCAAGCGUUGUUCGGAUUUACUGGGCGUAAAGGGCGCGUAGGCGGCAGAUUAAGUCAGCUGGGAAAUCUCCGAGCUUAACUCGGAACUGUCAGCUGAUACUGUUUUGCUAGAGUGCGGAAGGGGCAAUCGGAAUUCUUGGUGUAGCGGUGAAAUGCGUAGAUAUCAAGAGGAACACCUGAGGUGAAGACGGGUUGCUGGGCCGACACUGACGCUGAGUGCGCGAAAGCCAGGGGAGCAAACGGG